ACGAACGCUGGCGGCGUGCUUAACACAUGCAAGUCGAACGGGCCCGCCCUCUUUUUUGGGGGUGGGUUGAGUGGCGAACGGGUGAGUAUCACGUGAGUAACCUGCCCCCUGCUCCUGGAUAACUGCUUGAAAGGGCGGCUAAUACGGGGUGUGCCGGCUGGUCCGCAUGGGCCUGGUCGGGAUAGUUUCAUCUUCGGGUGUUUCGGUGGGGGAUGGGCUCGCGGCCUAUCAGCUUGUUGGUGGGGUGAUGGCCCACCAAGGCGGUGACGGGUAGCCGGCCUGAGAGGGUGGGCGGCCACACUGGGACUGAGACACGGCCCAGACUCCUGCGGGAGGCAGCAGUGGGGGGUAUUGCACAAUGGGCGGAAGCCUGAUGCAGCGACGUCGCGUGAGGGAUGGAGGCCUUCGGGUUGUGAACCUCUUUCUCCGGUGGUGAAGGCCCUGUCCGUUGCGGCGGGGUUGACGGUAGCCGGGGAUGAAGCGCCGGCUAACUACGUG
rnacentral:rRNA from 1 species